GCCCAGUCAGUCCUACUAAUCCAUUCCGUGUCACUCUCCUCAGAUCAGCACCAGCUUCCCCUUCCACCACCAUCACCCAGCCACUGACACCUCCGUCGCCGCCGUCCGCCGUCCGCCAUGGGCUCCUCCCACCGCCACCUCCUCCGCCUCCUCGACGACCCCUUCUUCCCCUUCCCCCCGCCACCACCAUCCUCCUCCUCCUCCUGCCCCUUCCUCCCUUCCCCAUUCGCCUUCCCCCACCACGACCUCGACACCCUCGACCUCGACCUCUUCCUCCCGCCCCACCACACCGUCGACCCCUUCUUCUCCCCCUUGCCCUCGCCCCACGCCUCCCUCCUGCACGACCUCACCGACCGCGUCGCCGCCCUCGAGCUCGCUGCCCUCGCCGCCCGCGCGCCGCAGCCCGCGCGCCGCAAGUACACCUACGCCGCCACCUCCCCGGGCGGCCGCAAGGUCAAGUGGACCGCCGAGGAGAAGCCGCGCACCGGCCACCGCGCGCUCAAGUGGGAGGCCGAGCUCGCCUCCCCCAACGACGACGGCUUCGACCGCAAGUGGCGGUGGGAGACCAAGUCCAAGGCCGCCGGGAAGGCCAAGACCAAGUGGGGCGCCGAGAUCAAGGGCAAAGGAUGUCUCCAGCCUUGGUCACAUGCGUACUCCUGGGAGGAGGACUUCAGCGGGUCAGACGACGAGGAGGAGGAUGAGCUGGAGCGCAAUCCGGAGAGGAAGAAGAAGGAGAUCAAGGGGCCCGCCGCCAAGGAGGACAAGAAGGACAAGAAGAAGACGACCAAAUGCGUCCGGAUCGAGGAGAUCCCCGAGGACAACACCGCCGGAUGCGACGCCAUCAGGAAGGCUUUUGCUAUGGGCAAUGAUAAGGGCAAGGCCAAGGAGCUGUCGCCGCAGGACGCCGCGCUGCUCAUCCAGAUGAACUACAGGGCGCACCUCGCCCACCGCUCCCAGGUGCUGCGCUGCCUGCGCGACCUCGCCGUCGCCAAGGCCAAGCUCAAGGAGCUCAGGUCCUUGUUCUAUAACCUCAAUUACAGGCGCCGCUGCAGCCAUGACCACGAGGAGCGCCAGAGGUUCUCUGAGAAGAUUAUUGUCCUGCUCCUCACUGUAGAUGCUCUUGAGGGACCUGACUUCAUGGUGAGGACGGCAAAGAAAUCUAUGCUGGAGGAACUCGAGGGGAUGCUGGAGAUUGUGGACCCACAGCCACCCGGUAAGGAGAGAUCGUUUAGCCGCCGAAAGUUUGAUCUUCCACAGGGUGGAGCGAUCCCGAACGAGAAGUCGGCUGCCGUGAACAACACAGUCAAAGUCAUCAACACGGGCAAGGGCAAGUAAUGUGGACCACUAGGUCCACCAUGCACAUCGUUGUCGCUGGGUACCACAGCCGAUCGAUGGAGCUUGUAGUGCCGUGCCUCGUGAGAAGUACGAUCUCCUUGUUAUUUUCUAGUAUCUCUGAGAAGUAUUGGACUUGUUGUGAACCAUUGUUGUGGUUGUUGUCGUCGCACUUGUAGCAUGUAUGAUCUGUGUCCUUUGCUUUGGACUUCUUGUAUGCUGUUGUUUGAACUGCAAGUAGAUGAAUUUGUGGUGCUUUAUCAGGUUUUCUGCUGGCUGCUGCCCUCA